AUUGAACGCUAGCGGGAUGCCUUAUACAUGCAAGUCGAACGGAGUGGCGAACGGGUGAGUAAUGUAUCGGAACGUGCCCAGUAGCGGGGGAUAACUACGCGAAAGCGUCGCUAAUACCGCAUACUAUUUGCGUGGCCGAUUUCGGAUUAGCUAGUUGGCGGGGUAACGGGUCACCAAGGCGACGCUCCAUAGCCGGUUUGAGAGGACGACCAGCCACACUGGGACGGAGACACGGCCCAUACUCCUACGGGAGGCAGAAGUUGGGAAUUUUGGACAAUGGGGGAAACCCUGAUCCAGCCAUCCCGCGUGUGCGAUGAAGGCCUUCGGGUUGUAAAGCACUUUUGGCAGGGAAGCGGUACCUGCAGAAUAAGCACCGGCUAACUACGUGCCAGCAGCCGCGGUAAUUC
rnacentral:rRNA from 1 species